CUGCUGCCACAUGCCUGGCUCAGCCGGCAAGGAGACUACUGCUCCAAACACCAUGUAGUCACACAGUGUGGGAAUGAUACUGCUGCAGUACUGGGAUGAGAUCAAGGUCUUGGUGAUAGAGUGAGAUCAGUAGUAUUGGUAGGAUUUGAAGCAGGGGAACAAAGUAGUAUGUUUCUGUGCUCUUUUGACUAGUAAACAGAGAAUGUUUCCACUUCACAAGAGCUGCUUUCCUGUAGCAAGAUAUCAAAUUAUGACCUUAAACAAACUCUCUCGUUCAAAGGACUGUACCAAACCCAUUUCACCAGGAGCAUGUCAUCUCAGGAGGCCUGGUUGUGAGCCUGGUUCCUUUGAACACCGCGAAUCCAGGAGGUUCAGCAGGCAAUGCAGUGUUUACAAAACAAUAGGACUUUAUGCUGUACAGAAUGGGAGUAAAUGCCCGUAAGCUGUCGCAGAAGAGGAACAUGCUGUACCAACCUGCUCACCACACAGGUCUGAUUUACAAAAGCACUUCAUCGCUGACCUAAUUUGGGUCAACAUAAGGUAUGUAGAAAGAAAUCCUGUUGACCUAAUUACAAGUGAAGUUUAUCACUGCCAGGUGCUUUUA
rnacentral:lncRNA from 1 species